CCGUUGCUAAGGACGCCCCAAGAGGAAGAUGGCUGCUUCCAGUACACAGCAAAGAAAUUCCAGAUACUACAUCGGAGAAGUGAAACAUCAACUCCGGGAUGGAUUCGGGUUGUACGUGUAUCCCAAUAGCUUCUUUCGUUAUGAAGGAGAGUGGAAAGCGGGAGCAAAACACGGACACGGAAAGUUAAUAAUGAAGGAUGGGAGUUAUUACGAAGGGGAGUUUUCCAGCGGAGAAAUAGAUGGGAAUGGGUUAAGAUACUGGGCAUCUUCAGGUAACACAUAUUCUGGGCAGUUUCGCUGUGGAGAGCUCCAUGGGUUUGGUGUGAUGCAGUAUGGGGAUGGCAGUCGAUAUGAGGGCGAGUUUUCUUAUGGUUUGAGAGAAGGGCAUGGUUUUCUGCUGGACAAGGAGGGACAUGCUUACCAAGGUUCUUUCCAUAACAAUAAGAAACAUGGAGAAGGGCAGAUGACUUUCAGGAAUGGAGAUCAGUAUGAAGGAGGCUGGAUACUGGACCAGAGACAAGGUCAUGGCAUGCUUCGUUUUAUAGACGGCUCAAUCUAUGAGGGUCAGUGGAGAAACGGCCUUUUCAAUGGCCAGGGGAGCAUGAUUCACUGCUCGGGUGUCAUUUAUGAAGGCAUGUGGACGAAUGGGCAGCCUGCUGCUGGGGCGAGUAAGAUUGUGAUUGAGGGAGGGGACGUGCUGGAGGUGUUCCGGGGCUCCCCUUUUACUGUUGAAGUCCAACUCCAAAACGACGAGGGAGAAAUAACUGCAGAUGAGAGUGGCCGUGUCCUGAAGGUCUCGGCUGGUGUCCGGUACACUGAACUUCCUCCCAGCUGCUCUUCCACUGCCUUCCUGAAGCUGAUUGAAGACAUGGAAGAAAAACCUUUUCCAACGCCAUUCGGCUUUGAGUGUAUUAGCUACCCUCUGAUGGAGAAGAUGCUUGAAAGAGACCACUCUAGAGGCUCAGACUCCCUUGCGGUGUCUAAAUCCGGAUUUGUGCUGACUGACUCCCCAGUCCCUGAGGGCGACGUGGAGUCUGGAAGUGGAUCAGACACCAUGGGCGGCAGGGGGGCGCCUCCCAGCAACCUGGAUGGAAACCUGGAGUUCUCAGGGUCAGAGGAUGAUUGGCAACCCCCUCCAGCCAAUCAGAGAGUAGAAGCAGGCUGUGCUAAAUUCCAAAAUGUCAUGCUUGCCCCUCCUCCCACAAACUACCAGGUUUUUCUGGUGAUGGAUGAAUUGGAAAAGCAAAAAGCAGCUGGAAGCCAGCUGGCAAAGCUUCUUCAGAGAAACUGACGUCAUCCCUGGACAGAAGUGCUGACAGCAGAUCCAACAUAGUGAGCCACGUGGGAGGUAAUUCAAAGACCAGCCUUGCAGACAGCAUGAAUGUGAGAGCAGGUGAAUAUGUGAUUAUGGUCCAGGACGUGACCAGCCCCCCGUUCCUGAACCGCCCUCUAGCGCCAGCGUUUGUGCUUCUCAGAGUCAUUCCCCCGAAGAAUGGCAAGAGCAGUAAGAGUGGAAGAAAGGAAAGCAAGUGAUCACACCAGUCAAGGCAGCUUCUUGGAAACUAAUGUGUGAGUGACUCAAUUCUAGCAGGGAUCACCAUGUGUGUGUUUUACACUACAUUUUCAUUCCAGAUAAUCUCAUUGAAGACCAAAGCAUGGAGAUAUUGGCAAUUCAAAAGGGUCUAUAAUGUUUAUUUUACAAGAAAGCCUCAGUACCUUGUAUUGUUUUUUUUUUCUUGUUUUUUUUUUACUGUAUGUGAAACGUAUCAUAAAAUGUGCAGCCCCUUC